rnacentral:lncRNA from 1 species
UCUCAGUCUGGGACCUGCGCAGUGUCACUCUGGGACAGCUGGUGCCCAGCGACAGGCCCCGCUCCUAAGAACAGCCCCAGAGCAGCCCCAGAGCAGCCUUGGAACCGAGCUUCCCCGGGGGCCUGGGGACCCGGGGUCCCAGUGUGUCACCCCCCUGCAGGGCCCUGGGCAAGCCGUGGGCUCUCUAAGCCCGACUUCCUCGUCCAUCUGAUGGAGCUUAAGCACGGUCACCUGCUCCCUAAACCAGGGCGGCGGUGCUCCUGAUGAUACUGUGGGGAACAGACGUCCAACCAAAGACCGGGAUGCAAAGGCACACGGCAGCUUGCUCUGUGAUUGUGCCAAACUGGAAGUCAACAGUGCUUGGAGGUAUGAUUCUGGAAGCGCUCCUCUUUGAGGCCACCUCCAGGUCCCCAUGGGGCACCCAGGGCUGUGGGGAGGGCUGUCAAGUGGCGCAGGUGGGGAUGGGUGUACAUGGGGACGGCCCGAUCUUCUUCCCCAGAUACGACAAGAGGGAGGACCUGCAGCCCGGGGCGGCAGACAUGCUGGUCUACACGCACAUCCUCCUGGAGGCAGCCCCCAGCCACCUGGCCCUCUACAGGGACACACACCGUGUCCCCAGCAACUGGAGAGUUAUUUGUCAUAGUCCCUACAUCGGAAUACUACUCGGCAGUGAAAAGAACCAAACAUCCCCGAAAGCAUGGAUGAGCCUCAAAAACAUUCUUCUAAGUGAAUCAAGGGGACCCCAAGAGGCUGAAUGCUGGAUGAUUCCAUCCCAUGACACUGAAAAAGGCCAAGCAAUAGGCAGGUCUAGAGAUCAAACCAGUGGGUGCCAGGAGCUGGGGUUAGGGGACAGGGCUCACUGCAGAGGGGUACAGGGAGAUUUUGGGGGGCGAAGUGUCGCGUAUCUUGAGUGUUGUGGUGGGAACCCGGGUCCGUGUGUCUUUCCGGACUGGCUCAGCUGCAUGCUCUGAAAAGGUGAGUGUGACCGGGUGGAAAUCAGAUCUCGGAAAAUCCUACCUUAAAAAUGAUGCGCCACCCGAGGUGUCGGCCGAUAUCCAUCUUCUUUGCUUCUCUGCUGACGUCAGGGGCGCAAACGCGGACAUGCCCGUGUCCAUGGGUGGCCUCCACAGCGAGGUGCGCCCACCGGGACCCGCAUCUGGGGCACCCCCAGUCCCCCCGGGGCCGCAGUCCCUCCUUCUCCACCCUCAGACACCCUCACACCUGGGCAAGGUUUGGCAUCUCGGUCAGUGACCACCCAGACCGUGAUUUUCGGGGUGCAGCUGAUUACUGAAGUCAGCUUUUAAGAACGCAAGUCAGAUCAUGCUCUUUCUAGACUGGAAGCUCUCAGAGUCUCCCCGAGAUGCUCCCUGCCAGGCCCAGGCUGGUCUAGCCUGCGGCUAGUGCCCGGCCCGGCGUGGGCUCAGCUCACGGUGGCAGGGUCCUUCCACGAGCGUCAGCUUCCAGCUGAGACCUGGCUUCUCACAGGUCUUCUCAUUUACUCCUCAAAAUAACUUGGCAGGGGCCGCGGUGACGUCAGCCCUCCCCAACCAACCAACGUGCGUGCUUAGUCCUGCUGAUCUCCUUGCCCAGGGCAAUCCUGGCUGAGCUGGGAGCUGUCACCUCCUCCUCCCACCUCCCAAGGCCACGGAGCCUGCCUUUGGUUCUCGCCCGUCUCCGUGGUGGCCAUUGCUGAAUCAGAGCUCAGCAUAAAACCUGCGGAGUGGACAUGUGUUUUGACUGAGGCCACCCCCAGGACCCCCCCUAGGGCGGGGAGGGCGCAAUCUUAGGAGUCUGCCCUUUUUUUUUGUACCAGGAAUUGAACUUAGGGGCUCUCCACCACUGAGCCCCAUCCCCAGCCCUAUUUUUUAUUUUAUUUAGACACAGGGUCUCACUGAGUCGCUUAGGGCUUGGCCAUUGCUGAGGCUGGCUUUGAACUCGAGAUCCUCCUGCCUCGGCCUCCCGAGUCACUGGGAUCACAGAUGCCGCCCCAGCGCCCAGCUCAGGAGCCCUCCUAAUGGACCUCUCCAGGAAGCACCAUCCCCUUCCCCGGGAGAGCUGUCAUCGUCCUCACUUCUGUGGCCCCAGCUGGACAUGGGCUGGUUUUGAACUCGUCACAGCUGGGUCCACCUGGGUGCCCUCUUGCCUCCUCCUCCUCUCACUGACACCAUCUGGAGGGUCAUCGCGUGCUCCCUGGAGCAGGGCUGCUUCCAGUCCCAGCUACGGCCAGUAAAGCUCCCACUAACCGCCGUUGGGUGGUCGCAGGCCCUUCUGUCCCUUGAGUGGGAAUGGUCGGGUCGCCGAGUGGACGUGUGACUGGCCUUGUUAGAAUGGUUGUUCCAAAUGCCAGAACCUUGUGCAUUUUAGGGACCGGGCAGCCAGAAGGCUGGGGGCUGGCUCCUGUGCCCCCCUCCCAGCCUUGCUGAGAUGGUCGAUGGCUCAGCCGGCCCCGGGGCCCAGAGCUACCCGGCGCCUUUAGCAGUUGCUGCAGGGAGAAGAGGUCGAGCCAGCCAACGGCCGUGCAGACCUCUCAUCGGGAGCCGGCAGCUGGCGGAGCUGGCGGAGCCCAGAAAGUUUAGGCCAUCUUGCAUUUUCCCCUCCAGUGAGCUCGGCUCUUAGGGGCAAUUAGCCGGCAGCAGAGCGGGGAGCCCAGAAUACUAACCAGACCCGCCUGUCCUGGGGCGCUUCCCACCCCCAGCCGGGUGGGCGGAGGCCUCGCCUUGCAGACGGGGUGCCUGGGAGGGGGCGGUGGGGUGUCCUUCACUAUUGCCCCUGGGCCUUUUGUUAGGGGGAGACAGGAGCAGCACCUGGUGCCCCUCCACCAUUACCUCCUCCAGGGACGGGAGGCUCACUGCCCACUCUCCCGGGGCUGCUGCUGGUGCCCUUCACCCGGUGCUUCUCUGCUCGCUGGAUGUUGUCUGUCACGGCUCCAAGACACCGCAGCACCGAGCCCUGGAGUAGGACAGGGUGACACCACGCACCCCUGACCCGAUACCCAGCGCCAGUCCUCGUGCUGUUCUUGCCCCAAACGCGCAACCUUGAUCUUACUGUGAGGAAACAGCAGGCAAAGUCACACCGAUGGACGGUCUGCAAACUAAGGGACCAGGACCUUUCACUAGUGUCAAACUCAUGAAGGAAAAGUCUGAGGAAUCACCAGAGAUUGGAGGAGACGGGACGGUCAGGGACGGCCACGUAGGAUCCCACACGGGCUCCCGGAAGCAAAAGGAUAGUGGCGGAAAAACAAACGCAGUCUGAGUUAGAGCUAAGGACGACUUGACAUAUCUGCACCCUGUGAACUGCCUGCUUCAGUAGUUACUCUGUGGUCAGGCGCCAUGUUGGCAUUAGGAGGAGCUGGGUACGAAGACUUGGGACUCUCUGUCCUACAUUUUGCAGUUCUUUAAACUUAAGAUUAUUUAAAAAUAAAAAGUAAAAAAAAA